rnacentral:rRNA from 1 species
GACGAACGCUGGCGGCGUGCUUAACACAUGCAAGUCGAACGGAAAGGCCCUGCUUUUGUGGGGUGCUCGAGUGGCGAACGGGUGCGUAACACGUGAGUAACCUGCCCUUGACUUUGGGAUAACUUCAGGAAACUGGGGCUACUACCGGAUCGGAGCUCCUGCUCCAUGGUGGGGGUUGGAAAGUUUCGGCGGUUGGGGAUGGACUCGCGGCUUAUCAGCUUGUUGGUGGGGUAGUGGCUUACCAACGCUUUGACGGGUCGCCGGCCUGAGAGGGUGACCGGCCACAUGGGGACUGAGAGACGGCCCAGACUCCUACGGGAGGCAGCAGGGGGGAAUAUGGCACAGUGGGCGGAAGCCGGAUGCAGCAACGCCGCGUGCGGGAUGACGGCCUGCGGGUUGUAAACCGCUGUCGCCUGUGACGAAGCGUGAGUGACGGUAAUGGGUAAAGAAGCACCGGCUAACUACGUG